rnacentral:rRNA from 1 species
ACGGAGGGGACUAGCGUUGUUCGGAAUUACUGGGCGUAAAGCGCAAGUAGGCGGAUUUGUAAGUCAGGGGUGAAAUCCCGGGGCUCAACCUCGGAACUGCCUUUGAUACUGCAAAUCUCGAGUCCGGAAGAGGUGAGUGGAAUUCCUAGUGUAGAGGUGAAAUUCGUAGAUAUUAGGAAGAACACCAGUGGCGAAGGCAGCUCGCUGGAACGGUACUGACGCUGAGGCGCGAAAGCGUGGGGAGCAAACAGG